UAUAGUACGUGAAACUGGUUAGGUCGAAGCGGAUAGAGCAGUCGAAAGAUGGUAGCAAUGAGUUGAUCGGGUGUUGGCUUCGGUUCAGCACAUCGGUUGAUGCACUUGUUAUUUGUUGCGCUGGCACGGUUGAUGAUGCCGUUGGAAGUGGUUGUAGAGGUGCUGUUCUUCGGAAGGGUAAACCUGCAAUCAUGAAAGACGUGUUGUUGUUAAUCGAUGUUGUUACAACAACGCAACAGUGAGUGUGCUGUAAGUGUGAGUGUUGACUAUGGGUCUUCGCAUGCGAAGGCCUUAGCCAGUGCUUAUGCUUGUAGUAUUAUGAUCUGAGGCGUUUGUCAGUGUACAUUUGUACUGUCACCUAUCCGUCCCGUCUUGAAACACGGACCAAGGAGUUUAUCGUAUGUGCGAGUUAUUGGGUGAUUAAAACCUAAUGGCGUAAUGAAAGUAAAGGUUUUGCUUGCAAAACUGAUAUGUGAUCCGGAUGUCCUUCGGGGCUUCGGCGCAGCAUAGCCCCAUCUCGGUUGCUUGCAACGGGGUGGAGGUAGAGCAUAUGCGAUGAGACCCGAAAGAUGGUGAACUAUGCCCGGGCAGGAUGAAGCCGGAGGAAACUCUGGUGGAAGUCCGUAGCGGUUCUGACGUGCAAAUCGAUCGUCUGACCUGGGUAUAGGGGCGAAAGACUAAUCGAACCAUCUAUAUG
rnacentral:rRNA from 1 species